UACAGGGGUCUCAAGCGUUGUUCGGAUUCAUUGGGCGUAAAGGGUGCGUAGGCGGGUCUUUAAGUCAGGGGUGAAAUCCUGGAGCUCAACUCCAGAACUGCCUUUGAUACUGAGGAUCUUGAGUUCGGGAGAGGUGAGUGGAACUGCGAGUGUAGAGGUGAAAUUCGUAGAUAUUCGGAGGAACACCAGUGGCGAAGGCGGCUCACUGGUCCAUUACUGACGCUGAGGUGCGAAAGCGUGGGGAGCAAACAGG
rnacentral:rRNA from 1 species